rnacentral:ncRNA from 1 species
CAUCGUGAGAUGGAAUCUGAAGGAAGCUGAAAGCAAACCUCCGGUUCGACGGACAGAAAUCGCAUAUAAGGCUGGACUCUGAGAGAUAAGUUGGCUCAAAGCAACAAAGUCUAAUAACUAUCACAUUUGUAGGAGUAAAGUAAAUGCGGCGGAUAUAUGGAGGGAAAGAG